rnacentral:lncRNA from 1 species
UUGUAACACGCCUUGGAGCAAUCUUCCAGUCCAUUUGGACGAUCGCUGGCUGGAGUUGUCGAUCAAGAUAGAGCUUCAAACCCUCUAGUAGGGAAAGCGCCCCACCCUCCAUGUUAAGCCAUCAAUAAAAUUGCCUAAAUAUCACGAAUAAUGGUUCCUCCGCCAGAGAACCCCGGAUUACCUAAAGAAAAUAAUCCACGUUAAGUUCAUAGCGAGAGGCCUGGAAAC